UACAGAGGGGGCAAGCGUUGUUCGGAAUUACUGGGCGUAAAGGGCGCGUAGGCGGCCGUCUAAGUCAGACGUGAAAUCCCUCGGCUCAACCGGGGGAACUGCGUCUGAUACUGGGCGGCUUGAAUCCGGGAGAGGGAUGCGGAAUUCCAGGUGUAGCGGUGAAAUGCGUAGAUAUCAGGAGGAACACCGGUGGCGAAGGCGGGUCUCUGGGCAGUAACUGACGCUGAGGAGCGAAAGCGUGGGGAGCAAACAGG
rnacentral:rRNA from 1 species